AACUUUCAACAACGGAUCUCUUGGUUCCCACAUCGAUGAAGAACGCAGCGAAAUGCGAUAAGUAAUGUGAAUUGCAGAAUUCAGUGAAUCAUCGAAUCUUUGAACGCACAUUGCGCCCCCUGGUAUUCCGGGGGGCAUGCCUGUUCGAGCGUCAU
rnacentral:rRNA from 5 species